rnacentral:rRNA from 1 species
UACAGGGGGUGCUAGCGUUGUUCGGAUUUACUGGGCGUAAAGGGCGCGUAGGCGGUUUAGAAAGUCAGAUGUGAAAGCCCGGGGCUUAACUCCGGAAGUGCAUUUGAAACUUCUAGGCUAGAGUACAGUAGAGGUUGGUGGAAUUCCCAGUGUAGAGGUGAAAUUCGUAGAUAUUGGGAGGAACACCAGUGGCGAAGGCGGCCAACUGGGCUGUAACUGACGCUGAGGCGCGAAAGCGUGGGGAUCAAACAGG